GAAUCGAGAAAUCAGAGAGAGAAAAUGAGAAUAUUAUUUGAAAGUUUGUUUGUGAUUCUUGAAUAUUACAGUAUCCCAGAGCCAUUUAUACUUUGAGCUUUGCUUAGUAAUUAAGCUAGCUCUUCCUAACUAACAGAGAGAUACACGUGACUAUUACAACAACUAAUACAAAUUAACACCCAUGAUUAAAGCAACCAUCUUGACACCUCAGCACCCUUGCUAUUAGCCAAACAUCCCCCCUCAAGCUUAUUAUGGAUUUCCCAGUUUGAGAUUGAUACAGUGCUGUGAAAACACAGGUGCAUGAAGUCAUUUUGUAAAUACAUCUGCAACCUGCUCAUCUGUUGGAAUGUAUUGCACUAAGAUAUCUUUGCGUUGAACCCUUUCUCUCACAAAAUGGUAAUCAAAAUCGAGGUGCUUAAUUCGGAGAUCCCAGCGAUGACAGAGCCUGCCAUUUCAAGCAAUGGGCACCGAUUGGUGGUGAAAUCGGAUCGGGUCGGAACAUUGGCCUUAAGUAAAGAUCCAAGAGCAGCUCUGGGUAUGGAUACAGCUAUUUCGAAACUAAAUCAAAGUGGUUGGGUGCACAUCUUCCCAGAAGGUAGUUGUUCUCGAGAUGGUGGCAAAACCACAGGGUCUUCCAAGAGAGGUGUUGGGAGGUGAGGAUCUUGUUGUGAAAGUGUGUUGCAGAGAGAGAUUCCCCUUUUCUUGGAUUCAUAGUUUUUUAAAUGAUUUUUUUGGGGUUGGCUCCCAAGCUUUGGUCUUUGAGCUUUGAGCUUCAUUGUAAAGAGAUGUGUCUUCCUUAUGAAUAGUAACUUUUGGCA